rnacentral:tRNA from 1 species
AAUAGAGUGCCUGACUAAAGGGUUAUUUUGAUAUAAUAAAUUAAGUAAAUUUUACCUCUAUUG